UACGGAGGGUCCAAGCGUUAUCCGGAUUUAUUGGGUUUAAAGGGUUCGUAGGCGGGAUAUUAAGUCAGUGGUGAAAUCCUACAGCUUAACUGUAGAACUGCCAUUGAUACUGAUAUUCUUGAAUUCACCUGAAGUAGGCGGAACAUGACAUGUAGCGGUGAAAUGCUUAGAUAUGUCAUAGAACACCGAUUGCGAAGGCAGCUUACUAAAGUGAUAUUGACGCUAAGGAACGAAAGCGUGGGGAGCGAACAGG
rnacentral:rRNA from 1 species